CAUUCCUACGGGAGGCAGCAGUGGGGAAUAUUGCACAAUGGGGGAAACCCUGAUGCAGCGACGCCGCGUGGGUGAAGAAGUACUUCGGUACGUAAAGCCCUAUCAGCAGGGAAGAAAAUGACGGUACCUGAUUAAGAAGCCCCGGCUAACUACGUGCCAGCAGCCGCGGUAAUACGUAGGGGGCAAGCGUUAUCCGGAUUUACUGGGUGUAAAGGGAGCGCAGACGGCAGUGCAAGUCUGGAGUGAAAGCCCGGGGCCCAACCCCGGAACUGCUCUGGAAACUGUGCGGCUAGAGUACUGGCGGG
rnacentral:rRNA from 1 species